GACGAACGCUGGCGGCGUGCUUAACACAUGCAAGUCGAACGGAAAGGCCCCCAUCUUGGUGGGGGUGCUCGAGUGGCGAACGGGUGAGUAACACGUGGGUGAUCUGCCCUGUACUUCGGGAUAAGCUUGGGAAACUGGGUCUAAUACCGGAUGGGACCAUGGUUUAGUGUCUCAUGGUGGAAAGAUUAUUGUUUUGGUGCAGGAUGAGCUCGCGGCCUAUCAGCUUGUUGGUGGGGUAAUGGCCUACCAAGGCGUCGACGGGUAGCCGGCCUGAGAGGGUGGACGGCCACAUUGGGACUGAGAUACGGCCCAGACUCCUACGGGAGGCAGCAGUGGGGAAUAUUGCGCAAUGGGCGCAAGCCUGAUGCAGCGACGCCGCGUGGGGGAUGACGGCCUUCGGGUUGUAAACUCCUUUCGUUAGGGACGAAGCCGCACUUUUUUUGGGUGUGGUGACGGUACCUUUGUUAAGAAGCACCGGCUAACUACGUG
rnacentral:rRNA from 1 species